UACAGAGGUCCCAAGCGUUGUUCGGAUUCAUUGGGCGUAAAGGGUGCGUAGGCGGUGCCGCAAGUCAGAUGUGAAAUCUCGGGGCUUAACCCCGAAACUGCAUUUGAUACUGCGGUGCUCGAGGACUGGAGAGGAGACUGGAAUUCACGGUGUAGCAGUGAGAUGCGUAGAUAUCGUGAGGAAGGCCAGUGGCGAAGGCGAGUCUCUGGACAGUUCCUGACGCUGAGGCACGAAGGCCAGGGGAGCAAACGGG
rnacentral:rRNA from 1 species